rnacentral:lncRNA from 1 species
CUAUUCUUAAUUAGAUGAACUUAUAUUUAUUGAAAGGUUUUCUACACUACUAUGAUACUUGAUUUUAUGAGGUAAAAAGUAUAUUUAUUUUCAAGUUUUGAGGUUUAUUUGAAGUAAUGACUUAGAAGAGUAUUGGUUCCACUCUAUACCUUAUUCCUCAAGUUUCAUGAUAUUUAUGUAGCAUGUUCUCUUUAUAUGAUAUCAUAUUCCCUUAUUGAGUUGAUUAUGUCUUAUCAUACGAUUACCAUUUUACGGUACUCACUUUUUUUGUGUCGGG